AGACGUCUACAUUAGAUACCCGCGUAGUCCCAGCCGUAAACUAUGCGCGUUAGGUGUAUCGGUGACCACGAGUUACCGAGGUGCCGAAGGGAAACCGUGAAACGUGCCGCCUGGGAAGUACGGUCGCAAGGCUGAAACUUAAAGGAAUUGGCGGGGAGCACCACAACAGGUGGAGCCUUGCGGUUUAAUUGGACUCAACGCCGGGAAGCUCACCGGAUAGGACAGCAGAAUGAUUGCCGGGCUGAAGACCCUGCAUGACUAGCUG
rnacentral:rRNA from 1 species